UGUGUCUCUCUCAAAAGUAAAAAAACAUUUAAAAAUUUUUCUUAAAUGGAGUUGGGAGGCCAGAAAGGGGAGCUCUCACCCCAUCACUCCUAGUCAAUUGCAGAACCAACAGGAAGGCACUACCUUGCAUUCCAGACAGGAAGAACCCUAUACUUUACUACCCAAGCUGGAGGAAGAAAGGUUUUCUCUUUGCCUGGCAACAGCCCAGCCAAUGAGAGACUGUCAUUACUCAGCUGGUGAUGGCCUCUACACUUCAAACUCCCAGGUUACUCCAAUGAAUUUUUGUUUAUAAUAGCUCCUCCCAAUCCCCCCCUUUCUUCUAUAAAAGAGCAUUCUUCUCCUUUGUUCUCAGACUUGCCUAUGGUUUGCUGAAGCUUGCUUAUUCUGAAUUGCAAUUCUUUGCUAUCUCCAAAUAAACCCAUCUCUCCUGGUAAAGUAACUGACAGUUUUAUUUUUAAGGUUAACAACUUUAACCAUGGAGAUUUCUAACAAGGAGACAACGUCAAGCUCUCAGAGCACAAGACAGUGAAUUUUUAGAAGGGGCUCUUUCCUAAGUGUGUGAAGGCUCUUCUGAGCAUAGCCAGCAGUUAAGAGCACAGACUCUGAAACCAGACCCCUGGAUUUGGAUGUUGGCACCAUUGCUUUCUGUCUCUGUGACCCUUGGGAUUGUUUCCCCAAUCACAUUUUCUACAUCAUCGCAACCAUAAUGUUAUCCCAGUAAAGCUUUCAUGCAGCACCUAUUCUGUGGUAAGUGGCUCUUUCCCCUGAGUCUGUUGGAAGGUGAUUGAAGUACA